rnacentral:rRNA from 1 species
UACGAAGGGGGCUAGCGUUGCUCGGAAUUACUGGGCGUAAAGCGCACGUAGGCGGAUUGUUAAGUCGGGGGUGAAAUCCUGGAGCUCAACUCCAGAACUGCCUUCGAAACUGGCGAUCUUGAGUCCGGGAGAGGUGAGUGGAACUGCGAGUGUAGAGGUGAAAUUCGUAGAUAUUCGCAAGAACACCAGUGGCGAAGGCGGCUCACUGGCCCGGUACUGACGCUGAGGUGCGAAAGCGUGGGGGGCGAACAGG